rnacentral:snRNA from 1 species
GGAUGCGAGGAUGAUCUGGUUAUGACAUCUGUCACCCCAUUGAUCACCAGGGUUGAUUUGGCUGACCUGGCAGGCUAGGUGGGUGUCCCCUUCCUCGCUCACCACUCAAUGUGCAUCUCUCCUGAAGCUGAGCACUCAGUAGAGGAGGACGGCCUUCCCUAUCUCUAUUCGAAUAGAGACGGACGGGUCUUCAGUCAAGGGUAAACGAGUAGCUGCACUCGCUUCCUAGAACCUCCAAACAAGAAAACACCAGGAGUUGGGCGGUAGCGCAGUGGGUUAAGCGCAGGUGGCACAAAGCCC